rnacentral:misc_RNA from 1 species
GAAAUGCGAUACGUAAUGCGAAUUGCAGGACUCAGUGAAUCAUCGAAUCUUUGAACGCAUGUUGCGCUUUCGAGAGCCCUCGGAAGCAUGCCUCUCUGAGUAUCGGUUCCUAUCUCACACCUGGUGUGGAGAAUGAGAGUCGGACGCCUGUCCGUCUCUUGAAAUCAGGCAGCGCGCCCAAAGUCCAUCGGAUUCUUGGAACGAUAAUCCGCCAUGGCACCUGGAACGGGUUCCUAACCGACAAGAUCUCAGAUGAGGUAAGACGACCCGCUGAAUUUAA